AUUACAGACGUGAGCCACUCUGCCUGGCCAAAUUGUUUUCAAUGUGAUAGAAAAAUAGUGGGUUUUGUCUGCCCUUGAAACAUUUAUAUUUUAGCCUAUUGGAGAAACAAGAGUGAAAAACUGCCAAGCACCACACAAAACUCCAUGUGGAAUCCAGAGACCCUUUUCCUGCCCUGAUUUCCAGACUUCCUUUGAACUGAGGACUGGCUCCUAUGCUUCUCUUGAAGAAAUGGCUUACAGUAAAUAGUACCAAUUCUUAUCUUUGCUCAACUUUAUACUGUAUUUAUUUAUAUUUAUGACUUGAUCCUUCAUUCUUUUUCUAAUGCCAUGCCUCUAAUUGUUCUGUGAGUCACCUCUUUCAAGAAGCAAUUACCCAUUCUGGUCAUCUCUUAAUGCUCUCAGCCUUCAGGAAGCAUGCUAUUAUAAUCAUGUCAUUUCCAAAUACUUUGCCUUUUUCCAAUUAUCCCCCAAGUGAUUUUGUGUUUGCAUUCAAGUUUUCAACAACUCUCCAUUGGAUGGUUAAUUUUUUUCCUAUUAAAUGCUCAUUUCUUUAUGUAUGGAGCACAUCCUCUGCUUAUAUGUCUCCUCCCUCCCUGUUCAGGGGUACUCAUUGCUCAAAAUUUCUUAACUAACUAAGCCUGGGCCUUCUAGGAUUAAAGAAAGAGAGAUUUGAUCCUCUUAUAGCUUUUAGGCUUUGAUAUUUCAUGUUGUUGAAAACUAGGAAAUUUUUGACUUUGGGUGGAGUCAGAAUGACAAGAACAUAAGAAAACAGAACACAGUGGGUGACUUCAGAACAGUAGUUAUAGAACAGGAGUUAUCUAUGCUCGAUUAACGCUAUGUGCUGCUGUGUGCGUGUUUUCCUACAACAAAAAGAGAAUCAUGUCUAUUUUGCUUUUUAAUCUUCUUGUCUUUAUGACUGCACCCCAAAUCAUAGUGUGCUUAGAAAUUCAUUCAGGAUUGAAAUCCACCAGACUGACGAAGGGUCUUGAAGGAGACAGGUCUUCCCAAGGAGUCUCCUCGUGCUUCGGGUGCUCUGCGGAAGCUGAGAAACUGUGCGCCUUCUGCCAGUGUUUACCCAGAAUGCCCCAGAUGAGAUCAGGUGAAAAAAGGAAAAGGAGAGCUGACAGAAAACCAGAUGGUUAAUGUUUGCUUGGUGGUUCAGAGCCCUGAUGCUUGAGCUGAGAAUGCUUACAUACCAAUCAGCUUACCUAAAUGCAUCUCUGCAGUUUCCCAAAUAUUUGGUAGGUGAGAACUUAGCCACUUGGUAUUUCUUGUGAUCCUGAAAUAAUGAGUGCUUUUAUUGGAGGCUUUUUGUUGUUGUUGUUCAUCCAUUAGUGAUGUUCUGUGAUCUUUUGCUCAGGUGUAAAAUGAUGCCUAGGACUGCAGUGUGGUGCAGAGGAGAGCAAGGCCUGGGCCUGCAUCCACAAGACCUGGCAGUAGCCCUGGACCUGCUGUCGAGGGGCUGUUUCCACUCAGGCCCCCAUUGCAGAGGCCCCAUGUCAUCACUGGGCAAGAAACUGAGGAUGCAGUAUCAAGAGAGGCGAUAACUGCCGGGUGGACCUUCCUCAGUCGGCCACGAGGCAGGACCGUGAACUGUGAAUGUGGAGGGGGGAAGUGGAGCUUUGAAGAAAAAGAAAGCAAGAAAUAGUUGCUUGGAAGAUUGAGCUACUGAAAGAACUGGAGAAAUGACCUGGGGUUAUGUCGUGGCACUAAGGAGCCCUUGAAGGUGGUGAUCGCGAGUGGAAGGCAGAACACCCAGCACCUGCGUUUUACUGGUCACCCGGAAAGAUGCCGUCACCUGCUAAAUCUCACCAGAGCAGAGGAAAUGCC